rfam:Phanerochaete carnosa HHB-10118-sp unplaced genomic scaffold PHACAscaffold_5, whole genome shotgun sequence.
GCUUCCUUGGCUCAGCCGGUAGAGCGUAGGUCUCAUACUUUGCUAUGAGCACUCUGAUGAGUGUGCAAUCCUAAGGUCGUGAGUUCGAUCCUCACAGGGAGCA